rnacentral:rRNA from 1 species
GCUGGCGGCGCGCUUAACACAUGCAAGUCGAACGAGAAAGUGGGGCAACCCAUAAGUACAGUGGCGUACGGGUGAGUAACACGUGGAUAACCUACCUUAGAGUGGGGAAUAACUCUGGGAAACCGGAGCUAAUACCGCAUACGUUCCCUGGAGCAUAAGUUUCGGGGAGGAAACGCGAAAGCGGCUCUAAGAGGGGUCCGCGGCCGAUUAGGUAGUUGGUAGGGUAACGGCCUACCAAGCCUGGGAUCGGUAGCCGGCCUGAGAGGGCACACGGCCACACUGGCACUGAAACACGGGCCAGACUCCUACGGGAGGCAGCAGUGGGGAAUCUUGCACAAUGGGGGAAACCCUGAUGCAGCGACGCCGCGUGAGCGAUGAAGCCCUUCGGGGUGUAAAGCUCUUUCGGCGGGGAAAAUUAUGAUGGUACCCGCAGAAGCAGCUGCGGCUAACUACGUGCCAGCAGCCGCGGUAAUACGUAUGCAGCAAGCGUUGUUCGGAAUUACUGGGCGUAAAGAGUGUGUAGGCGGUUGGCUAAGUCUGGUGUGAAAUCUCCUGGCUCAAC